rnacentral:rRNA from 1 species
ACGAGCGGCGGAAGGGUGAGUAAUGCCUAGGGAUCUGCCCAGUCGAGGGGGAUAACAGUUGGAAACGACUGCUAAUACCGCAUACGCCCUACGGGGGAAAGGAGGGGACCUUCGGGCCUUCCGCGAUUGGAUGAACCUANGUGGGAUUAGCUAGUUGGUGAGGUAAUGGCUCACCAAGGCGACGAUCCCUAGCUGUUCUGAGAGGAUGAUCAGCCACACUGGGACUGAGACACGGCCCAGACUCCUACGGGAGGCAGCAGUGGGGAAUAUUGCACAAUGGGGGAAACCCUGAUGCAGCCAUGCCGCGUGUGUGAAGAAGGCCUUCGGGUUGUAAAGCACUUUCAGUAGGGAGGAAAGGUAAUAGUUUAAUAAACUAUUACUGUGACGUUACCUACAGAAGAAGGACCGGCUAACUCCGUGCCAGCAGCCGCGGUAAUACGGAGGGUCCGAGCGUUAAUCGGAAUUACUGGGCGUAAAGCGUGCGCAGGCGGUUUGUUAAGCCAGAUGUGAAAUCCCCGGGCUCAACCUGGGAAUUGCAUUUGGAACUGGCGAACUANAGUCUUGUACAGGGGGGUAGAAUUCCGGUGUUCCGGUGAAAUUGCGUUAAAAUAUCUUGGAGGAAUACCGGUUGGC